UGGCCCAUCUCAGAUCUGGUCUUGCUUGAGCUACGCAAAUGCCUCUCAGGGAGACGCAAGGACCUGUCUAUUAUAAUGACCAGGCCUACAUCCAUGGGAGCAGCAGACUUUCAUCUAUUAGCCCUUUUCAACCAUUGAUCUACUAAACUGGAAACACCCUGAACCCGCCACCUUGCUCCCGGCAGCUAGAGCCCUGUCGAGCAUGACUGUGUAGAGGUGUUGGACUCCAGUGUACUCUAGCAGCCCUCAUCUCUGGGACCAGCCUUGGGCAUCAGUAGACUGGGAGCUAUACGUGGACGGGAACAGCUUCAUCAACCCACAAGGAGAGAGAGGUGCAGAAUAUGUGGUGGUCACCCUGGACACUGUCGUUAAGCUGAGCUCAUUGCUUUAAUUCGGGCCUUAGAACUCAGUGAAGAUGAGAUAUAGAGGCUCAGAGAAGCAGUAUUAACCUGGCACCAAAGUCUCCUAGCUCUUCUGGGGCCAGGCCCGGGAAAGAGGUGAGAAUGGACACCUGGCACCGACUGCUGGCCCCAGUGACUCUAUUUUCUUAGCCCCGAAUCACACUCGUCAUCUGACCCACCGUUUCAGCAGGUGUGGAACAUCCUGGACUCUUGGAUGUACUGCUGCAUCUUCUAGAGAGUGAGGCGUUCGGUUGCCCUCCUGAGAGCUCAACAGCCUGGCAUGAAGGCAGGGACUGUGUACUGUACCGCCAGUACCAGAGGUGGGAGGUACCCAGGGUUGUGGAAUGAAUGAAUACAUUCACAGGCCCACAGGAAGACUGCAAGAGCUCCACUUGAGUUGACCAAGGAUGUUACCUAAGCCCUCAGAACUGCUGCUAAUUCUCCCAGCAGAAGGAGGCGACUGUCGGAAACUAGGAGGUGCUUGGUGAUAAUGGAAUAAAGGUUUUCUCUCUGCAGAGCUGUCUGGACCACACAGGGGUCACACUUAGAUCUGAUCGUAACAUAGCUCCACCUGGACAAGCUGUUUCUUCCAACCCUCUUUCCAGCUUGAAUCACAUCAUUACCUUUAAGAAUUUUCCAUUAGUUUUAGUUUCCUGCUAACUGACAUCUUCACUAUAUAAAAUAUUGGUAUAAAAAUACUGUGUACCAAGAUUUGAUACAACUAGCAAAUGUUCAUUGGUUUACAACAAACC